GCUCGCUUCGGCAGCACAUACUAAAAUUGGAACAAUACAGAGAAGAUUAACAUGGCCCCUGCGCAAGGAUGACACGCAAAUUCGUGAAGAGUUCCAGUAAAAA
rnacentral:snRNA from 1 species